UUUAAGUGCAACUAUAAGUUUCCACGCCCAACUUUGAUCGUCCGUCUUAUUUUAAAUUUUUUUAUAAUUAGUAUUUUUGUUGUUAUGAGAUAAUAAAACAUGGAUAUUACUUUACUCGUGACUUAUGUUUUUAAAUUUUUUCAAAAAAAAAAAAAUCAAAUAAGACGGACGGUCAAAGUUAGACGCGGAAAACCAUAGCUGCACUUAAA
rfam:Oryza sativa (indica cultivar-group) chromosome 9, whole genome shotgun sequence.